rnacentral:lncRNA from 1 species
GGUAUUUUCAUUUCUCUUCUUUGCCACAUUAUUCAUUCCCUCAAUUCUAACAUUUAGAUUGUAAUGUGUGUAUUUAAGAUAAGGUAAUUACACAUGAAUGAAAGAGAAACGAGUAAGGGAACAGACUGUGCCCAUAACCCUUUUUGGAUGACAAAACCAACCCUCUUAGAAACAUUUAGAUCAAUAUUCAUGGUAUCUUGUAGUAUUGGGGGAAAGGAAAUUAGGCAGCUUUGAUGUUUACUUUAAGUUAUGGUUCCUCAUUAAUGUUUUAAAACCCGAACCGGACAUAGAACCGGUGAGACUGAGACCUCUGGGUCAUGGUUCACAUGAGUUUCACCCAAUUAGAGAAUGAAUGCUAGAGAGUGUUGCUAGCACUCCUCUUAGGUCAUUGCGUCUGACUAUGCUGCUUUGUUUAUGUCAUUGUUUUGGCUUUGUAGCUGAGGUUUCUAACGGAAUUCCCGAAGAGGCACGUGAAAGAAUGUUGUAUUCUGACAUAAACUCACAGAUUGGUAGUUGCAUGCCUCUCUCUUCAAUGCGAAUU